rnacentral:rRNA from 1 species
UACGAAGGGUGCAAACGUUGCUCGGAAUUAUUGGGCGUAAAGCGCACGUAGGCGGCUUUGCAAGUCGGAUGUGAAAUCCCUCGGCUCAACCAAGGAAGUGCAUCCGAAACUGCAGAGCUUGAGUACCAAAGAGGAGCGCGGAAUUCCCGGUGUAGAGGUGAAAUUCGUAGAUAUCGGGAGGAACACCAGUGGCGAAGGCGGCGAUCUGGGUGGAUACUGACGCUGAGGUGCGAAAGCGUGGGGAGCAAACAGG